GAUGAAGAACGUAGUGAAAUGCGAUAAGUAAUGUGAAUUGCAGAAUUCAGUGAAUCAUCGAAUCUUUGAACGCACAUUGCGCCCGCCAGUAUUCUGGCGGGCAUGCCUGUUCGAGCGUCAUUUCAACCAUCAAGCCCCCGGGCUUGUGUUGGGGACCUGCGGCUGCCGCAGGCCCUGAAAAGCAGUGGCGGGCUCGCUGUCACACCGAGCGUAGUAGAUUUUAUCUCGCUCUGGGCGUGCUGCGGGUUCCGGCCGUUAAACCACCCUUUUAACCCAAGGUUGACCUCGGAUCAGGUAGGAAGACCCGCUGAACUUAAGCAUAUCAAUAAGCGGAGGAU
rnacentral:misc_RNA from 1 species